GAUGAACGCUGGCGGCGUGCUUAACACAUGCAAGUCGAACGAUGAAGCCCAGCUUGCUGGGUGGAUUAGUGGCGAACGGGUGAGUAACACGUGAGUAACCUGCCCUUAACUCUGGGAUAAGCCUGGGAAACUGGGUCUAAUACCGGAUAGGAGCGUCCACCGCAUGGUGGGUGUUGGAAAGAUUUAUCGGUUUUGGAUGGACUCGCGGCCUAUCAGCUUGUUGGUGAGGUAAUGGCUCACCAAGGCGACGACGGGUAGCCGGCCUGAGAGGGUGACCGGCCACAAUGGGACUGAGAAACGGCCCAGACUCCUACGGGAGGCAGCAGUGGGGAAUAUUGCACAAUGGGCGAAAGCCUGAUGCAGCGACGCCGCGUGAGGGAUGACGGCCUUCGGGUUGUAAACCUCUUUCAGUAGGGAAGAAGCGAAAGUGACGGUACCUGCAGAAGAAGCACCGGCUAACUACGUG
rnacentral:rRNA from 1 species